rnacentral:tmRNA from 1 species
GACUGUUUAUGGCACAGAAUGGAUCACAGAAAAGGUGCUUAUGUAGUACAUUGGGUCCCCGACUGGUGAUGAUUUCAGCCAGGUCUGGAUCAUCUAUGAGCUUAGAGGUGGUGUACAUCAUCAGGGUGUAGGCGGUUCUGUCUAGCAAAGAGGUGUUAUUUUCCAGGCAGGUGAGUAUGGUGGAUUUGAUCUCUUGGAGGAUCCUGGCCGCCUCGGGGUGACACGCCAGACAUUCGCACAACACGCACACGGAGCUGGUGUUGCCCCUACAUUUGAGGGAGAAGGGAAACGAGAGUAGGCACGGUCCUUGGGAGGUAUCCACCGUCUCUACAGGUGUGUCUGGCUCGGAGUAAUCGGGGUCGAGUAACAGGGACCGCUUCCAGGCCUCGCUGAAUAUCUUGAGAAGACUUGGCCUGUUGGUGUUUGAAAAGAACUCACGGUGGGGCACAGCCUUGACAGGGCAGCCAGUGGGGGGAUCUGGACUCUGGGCCCCCUUCUUGUGGGCUGUUUCCAGAGAGCUGGACCAGAUACCUUGUAUGUGAGCAGCAGACUGGACAUUACAGAUGGUAUUAGAUAACAAACUCAGGCGGACCUGGUGCAGGUUUUCCAGUUGAGCCACCUGAUCGGGGGUGGUGUGCCUGAAGCAUUGCCUGGCAAAGAAAUGAAGAAAGCUGUCAGCGGUCAGGGAUACCAUAUUGACCCUGGUGGACACUGAUCGGCUCAUAGACGGACAUGGCUAACCAGAAGAAGCUGAUAGACGAGCUCUGUGGGAUUGUUACUUCUUUUCUAUGUCCCCAGGGGAUUGUGCCAGAGAUUGAAAAAUGUUCUACAAAGCUGCCUCAUUUUUCUAAAGGUGGAACAAAGCCUGUGUGCACAGUGAGGCUCCAGCAUGGCCACACUUAUCACAUUGAGUUUGUGUACAAGUUUUGGCAGCACAUUUUGGGCCAGCUUCGCCUGCCCCUACAGCCUUGCUUUAUUUUGACAAAUAACGGCUUGGCCACCACUUUGAAAUGUUUUAUGAGCCCGCCAAGGGAUAUAGACUUUCAGUAUGGCAACAGGGUCAAUAUGGCCUGCGAUGUGAAUUUGGAGAAAAACUCUUGUGUUAUCAUAGAGGACGAGGAUUUCCUGAGGUUCAAGAGCUACCAUGUGUUUCCCAAGGACGUACCAAUCUAUAACUCUAUGGUGGUAUGUAGAACCUACAUCACUGAUAUGAGGAACGCAGUACAAUUUUUUGUGGUCAAGCCUGGAAACAGGAGAAAGAUUGUGCAUAUGUUGGAAAGUAUUGAGGAGAUGCCUGAAACCCCACAACAGUUGUAUUUUUGUGGUGGACGUGGGUAUAAGAUGAUAGGGGCUGGGCUCUCCCUCUUCUUUUUUGCAGCCAUAGUGGCGCUGGCCAGUAAACUAGUAUGGUGAUGGGGGCCUUGGACUAUCUGCGCUUGAUGAAUAUUUCAGUGGAUGAGUUUAGAAGCUUUUGUAUCUAUGGCCACCUCAGUGGGCAGCGUGGAUGGGGUGAGCUGUUGUUGAGCAAUCUUUCAUUUAAAAGAGCAGUGUGCCAUAUACUGAAAAUACAGUGUGAGACUAAGAAGAGGUGGACAAACAAGGUAUUGGUGGCGAAUAGUGCGUUGUCCCUACUGACCCUCUUCAGGAUGGUUCUUCAUGAAUGUGUUUUUUCACACAAAUAUUUUAUACCUGACAGGAUCGAGGACAUGUGUUUCCCGCUGACCAAAAUACUCACUGUGCCCUUCCUCAAGGCCCUAGAUCUGUAUCUCUCCCAGUUUUCCAUCUCAUGCAAGUUUCCCAUAAUUAAAAUAUCCACUGUGAAUCCUACCCUUCUGGCGUUUACCAAGAAGAAAUAUCUGGCUAGUGUUGUGUCUGAUCAACCCAUCGAGGUCCCUGCUCCAUCUGCCCGGCCUGAUCCUGUGAGGUUUACUGCUGCGGUGCCCUUAGCUUCUGAUGAGCAGUCUCUGGUGAAAGCUUUACAUUCCAGUACCGGGACAGUCCAGUGUGGAAAUCCAUUUUAUUAUAUGAUGACCAGACUUUGCUUGUAUGGACUAAUGCAUGGUAGGGGGGGAAUUGUGCCAGUUUCCAGCUCUAGUAAGCAGAGUGUAUAUGAUGUGGCUAUAAGAUUUAUAGGUUCUAGGAUAUUGAGCCCGAUAGUGAGGCUGCCAAUUUUAUCCAGGGCUUUGGCAGACCUGGCGCUGACGGGGCACGGUCAUCAGAUAACAGUGUGUAAUGAAUGUGGCCACUGUUUAAAUUUGGGCAGGGAUAAAUUUCUUGCAGUAAAUUUUUCCCCCACAAGUAUGUUUUAUUGCAGAGAUCAAAAGGAGAAACAGUUUAACAUAUGUGCUACAACUGGGAGGAUCUAUUGUUCAUAUUGUGGGGCGACAGAGUUUACAGUGUAUGACAUGGUGGGAAGGUAUGCUACGGGGGAGCCUUUUAUUAGGGCGGUUUCCUCAGCUAACUCCCUUAGUAUUUUAGAUAAUAGCGAACAGGAGUGUGAUAUACUGAUCCCUUGUUUUGGUAAAUCUAGGUCUUGCAGUAUUAAGCUGAGGGCGACAUUUAGGGAGCUACUUUAUUUGACAGCGUCUGUUGAUAAUUUUAUUUGUCAAAAGUGUUCCAAUAAGGGUGAUGAAUAAAGACAGGGUCAAAGCUCCAGCUUUCCACCCAGAGCUCCAUAACAAGCUUUUGGAAAGGCUUAAGGCUGCCUAUGGAAAGGACAGUAUUGGCAAAGACCCAGAAGAAGCCCCAGUUCCCCUGUUGUUGCAUACCUGUGCAGUUAGAUUCUAUGAAGAGUACAAAGAAUUGACACGUGAUAACACAUUGCCUACAUUGGUAAACAAGAAAGGAUUCCCGGGGGAUGCCAAAAUGAUGGACCCUGUCUUGGGUAUCUAUCACUCUGGAAAAAAACAGGGAGCAUCAAGUGUCCCUUCCUCUUCUGGAGCAUUUGACGGAGGGAGCCACGGUGGCCCUCUACCUUCUGUUGAUCUUCCUCAAAGGGAGGGAGGCCUGUGGUACGGACUGGGCCCUGACAAGUCUGGACUGGGUUUUGUGCUCCCCUCUGAUCCAGGGUCUAUGUCUGACGGGAACAGCUUUAGGGUUAUUCCAGACCCCUCAUCUCUAACAGACAAGGAUGACCAGAACUUGGGGGAAUCGACCAAAACAAGGAGUGGAAAUGGAAAGAAAAAGUAGACCCUUGACCAAAGACUGUUAAAUGUAAAGCUGUUUUAUUCUUUUUAGAGUAGACAGCAUAUAUGAUGAAUGGUCGUGUACACUUUUGAUUAUCUUCUCAAUAAAUAAUAAUACAUUA